UCAGGAUGAACGCUAGCGACAGGCCUAACACAUGCAAGUCGAGGGGCAGCGCGGGAGAAGCUUGCUUUCCUGGCGGCGACCGGCGCACGGGUGAGUAACGCGUAUGCAACCUGCCAGUAAGCGCGGGAUAGCCUUCCGAAAGGGAGAUUAACACCGCAUGAGGCCGCUUGGGGGCAUCCCUUGGCGGUGAAAUGAGAAGCUUACUGAUGGGCAUGCGUCUGAUUAGGUAGUCGGUGGGGCAGCGGCCCACCGAGCCGACGAUCAGUAGGGGUUCUGAGAGGAAGGUCCCCCACACUGGUACUGAGACACGGACCAGACUCCUACGGGAGGCAGCAGUGAGGAAUAUUGGUCAAUGGGCGAGAGCCUGAACCAGCCAAAGUCGCGUGAGGGAAGACUGCCCUAUGGGUUGUAAACCUCUUUUGACGGGGGAUAAAGUGCGGGACGUGUCCCGUAUUGCAGGUACCCGUCGAAUAAGGAUCGGCUAACUCCGUGCCAGCCGCCGC
rnacentral:rRNA from 1 species